GGAGGGUGCAAGCGUUAAUCGGAAUUACUGGGCGUAGAGAGCGCGUAGGUGGUUUUUUAAGUUGGAUGUGAAAUCCCUGGGCUUAACCUGGGGCUGUCAUUCAAUACUGGAUAACUAGAGUGCAGUAGAGGGAAGUGGAAUUUCCGGUGUAGCGGUGAAAUGCGUAGAUAUCGGAAGGAACAUCAGUGGCGAAGGCGACUUCCUGGACUGAUACUGACACUGAGGCGCGAAAGCGUGGGGAGCAAACAGGAUUAGAUACCCUGGUAGUCCACGCCGUAAACGAUGAGAACUAGCCCGUUUGAUAGUUAAACUAUUGAGUGGCGCAGCUAACGCGUUAAGUUCUCCGCCUGGGGAUACGGCCGCAAGGUUA
rnacentral:rRNA from 1 species